rnacentral:lncRNA from 1 species
CUGGGACCGCUACUGGCAUCACGGGAGGCUUGGAUUUCGGGAGCUGAUGCACGCGGGAUCUCGGGAGGACACCCUUCAUGGUCGCGUGAUGCUGGGAGGAGCUGGGAUGCUUGAAAUCGGAAGGGAGGAGAUGCAGUGGGCGGACGGGAUGCUUGGGGGAUCCGAUUUCUGGGAGUCCAAUCAUGGCUUGGAUGGGGUGGAGGGCGUCAAUUCGUGCUAGAUCACGGGCUGGAGGAGGCGCGGGCUGAGGCGGAGGAGUUGUGGCGUUGAUCACGGAAGAGCUGGGAGCGCGAGAUCGAUCACGGAAUGUAGGAGGAGAUGCGCGUGGGCAGACGGGAUGGCUAGGCGUUGUGCG